rnacentral:pre_miRNA from 1 species
AUGUUAAUGCUAAUCGUGAUAGGGGUUGCAAUUAAUCUGACACCUAACAUGAUAGCAUUAGCUU